rnacentral:lncRNA from 1 species
AUGGACACUGGGUGUGGACCUUGGAUGUGGACACAGGGUGUGGACCUUGGAUGUGAGUUACUGGGUGUGGACCCUGGGUGCAGACCCUGGGUGUGGUGGACUCUGGGUGUAAACCCUGGAUGUAGACAUGGGGUGUGGACCUUGGAUGUGAGUUACUGGGUAUGGACCCUGGGUGUGGUGGACCCUGGGUGUGGUGGACACUGGGUGUGGUGGACACUGUCUGUAAACCCUGGAUGUGGUGGACACUGGGUGCGGACCCUGGGUGUAGUGGACUCUGGGUAUGGGGUAUGGACCCUGGGCAAUGGACGUGGGUCUGGGACCCCGUGUGGCCCAGUGCUGGCUGGUGUGCUCCAGGCUCAGAUCUGCUCUGUGAGUGGGUAAGCCUCUCCCUCCCUCCCUACGAGCCUCCUGAGGCCUGAGGUCCUGGUUGGCACCCAUGCUGAGGGUUCUAGGAUGCUUGAUUUUGCUUAAUUCUCUUGUGAAUCUCUGGAUUCCUCCUUCCCUUGUCUGAAGUCAGGAGUCCUCACGUGUGGGUUCAUCCCUCUUCCCGCUGCAGCCCGGGGACAGCUCUGGGCUGCUCCGAACCUGGGGAGCAGGUUGUCAAAUCCAUCAGGGUGGAAUGCUCAGCAGAAGAAAUUGCGCCACAGGGAAUUUGAGGCACCUGUCCAUGUGGGGCUGUCCUGGCCCUUCUGAAGAUAAGCCCUCCUCCUUGCAGACACUGAGGAAGGUGGGCAGGGAUCCUUCCGCUCGGUGGAAGAUGGGCCGGGAUUUCACAACCAUAACUGGGCUCAGAGCGCUGAGAAAGGAACGCUUCCUUGAGAGUUAAAAACUGAGUUAAACAAAUUGUGUUUGGACUUUCACACUUCACGGAAGGUACCUUUCAGGCAUUUGCUAAACUCACGAAAAUAAUGCCUCAAGAAUGCAUCUGUUUUUCAGCAUAACUUUUUGGAGUUAAAAUACACACGGCUCUGCUUCUUAGGCUUCUGCUGAAUCCAAGGGGCCUCAGGGCCUGAAGACAAAGCUACCUCCUCCCACUCAGGAGGGCCCGAGGAGCAGACGCAGAAUCUUGGGGCCCAGCCCAUCUGCCCCUCAUGGGCCUGUGACCUUGGGCUAGCUCCUCUGCUGUCUGUGCUCUGCUGUUUGGAAGUACAGCUAACAAUACAAUUACUAAUUUUAACUACUGUUCAUGAAAUGCUUAUAAGGUGCUACACACUGCAUGAAGCCUUGUGUGCAUUUUAAAAUUUAACCUCAAAUGGCCCUGGGAGUGAACAUUGUCAUCUGGAUUAUGGGGGAGAAGCGAUCUCAGCUAAGCGGCUGGCUGGCCUGACCUCACAGCUUAUGUGAGGCCAAGCCAGGAUGCAGCCCCGGGGCUGGGGAGGACUGCUGUUGGGGUCCGUGUGUUUCCUAAACAAAGGAAUGAACACACAAGACAACACAAGACAAGACAAACAUGGCGGCCGCCUCUGCUUUAUUUUAUACAGUCAUUUGUGGAAUGUUGCCAAGUCACAAGACACAUUGUUGUUUUUCUGACCUUUCCCUGACUUUCUGGAUUUUCAAGAUGUUUACACAUAAACAAGCCCCCAACGCUCUGCUUCGUUUGCAAGAGCAGGACUUAUCGGGAACGCCCUGCUUUGUUUGCGAGAGCAGGACUUAUGGGGGAACACCCUGUUUGCAAGCAUGAAGUCCUCUACAGACCGCCCUGCUCCACCUUAUCUGUUGGCUCUCCACUUGCCUCAACUGAUAGCAGAGGAGAGAGAAUAGGAGCAUGGACGUGGAGUGGGGCUGGAUCCGGAGUGAUAGAUGUGAGGGGCUGAGUUGAUGCUUUUCUCUAUUUUCAUGCAUGUUUGAACAUUUCUAUAAGAAGCAAAGUUGAGGCAUAUUAUCAUAUAGAUGGAGAAAUAAAGACUGACCUAGGGAUAACACACAAGAAGUAUAGAAGUAUUUUCUGGUUUGAAUCAACCUUUGGAUGUCUCACUUUUUGGAGUGUAGAGGGGUGGAGCCUGGCUUCAGGGCUGUGCUGGAAGACAGAGGGUUGGCAUUUCCUCAGUCUGUCUGGCUGUAGGCACGAGACUCUUUUGACACAGGAGGCAGUAUCAAUUUAGACCCAGAGAAAUCUCAGCAAUCAUGCCACAAGCAGCCGCUUUUCUCCAGAGCCUUGUCUGUAUGUGUAGGUAUGUGUAGUUGUGUGUAACUGUGUUUAAGUGUGCAUACACACAUGCAUGGAUUUGUGUGUGUUUGCAUGCAUAUAUGUGUUCAGGUGCCUGUGUGUGUGAACAUGAAUUUAUGUGUGUACACAUAUUUGUGUACAUGUGAACACACAUGUGCAUACUGUGUGAGCAAAAAUGUAUUUACUGUGUAUAUAAGUGCAUAUGCAUUUAUAUGUAUGUAAGAAAAUAAUCGUUCUCCAAUGCUUACAAAGAGCAAGCCCAGGGUUUGUUAUGGUGUGUGGUAUGUGAUGGUGCUCUGUUCCAUAAAUACAAGCAACUAAUUAUAAUAUUGGAUGGAGGGGCUCAUCUGAAAAAUAGAGACAGAAGCCUUGUUUCAGCCCUGUAGAUGAUGGUUUAUGGUUGCCAUUCUUCUCUUUACAUUUCAUUGCCUUUGUUUUGUUUUAUGUGUGAUUGCAGUAAAGAAUUAAACAAAAAGUAAAACUCGGCCAGGCUUGCUUCUGGUAUUGCCAUAGCCUGCGUUAGGUGACGUUUUGCACAGUUCAUGUUUCUUGAGCACCUCCUAGGUGCUGGGCCCGCACAGGGCGCUCUGAAUGCUGUAGUGAACCAGCCACGUGGCAUCAAGCCCGAGAGCACAGUGUUUCAAAACGGCAAACCCAAGUGUGGUAGAGACUGAGCUUGUGCUUCUUGGGGCUAGUGGC